UACAGAGGGUGCGAGCGUUGUCCGGAAUUAUUGGGCGUAAAGAGCUCGUAGGCGGUCUGUCGCGUCUGCUGUGAAAACUCAGGGCUUAACCCUGAGCUUGCAGUGGGUACGGGCAGACUAGAGUGCGGUAGGGGAGACUGGAAUUCCUGGUGUAGCGGUGAAAUGCGCAGAUAUCAGGAGGAACACCGGUGGCGAAGGCGGGUCUCUGGGCCGAUACUGACGC
rnacentral:rRNA from 1 species